rnacentral:rRNA from 1 species
AAUGGCCGCGGUAAUUUGACCGUGCAAAGGUAGCAUAAUUAUUUGUCUUUUAAUUAAAGGCUUGUAUGAAUGAUUGGAUGAAAAAUAUACUUUAUUAAUAAAAUUAAUUGAAAUUAAUAUUUAAGUAAAAAUUCUUAAAUAUAUAAGUGGGACGAGAAGACCCUAUAGAGUUUAAUUUUUUUAUUAUUUUAAAAUUUAAGAAUUAAUAUAUUUAUAAUAAAAAAAAAUUUUUUAUUGGGGUGAUAUUAAAAAUUAUUUAACUUUUAAUUAAUAUAUCAUUAAUAAAUGAUUAAUUGAUCCAAUAUUUUUGAUUAUAAGAUAAAAUUACCUUAGGGAUAACAGCGUAAUUAAUUUGAAGAGUUCAAAUCGAUAAAUUAGUUUGCGACCUCGAUGUUGGAUUAAGAUAAUUUUUUGGGGUAAUUUUUAAAAUAUUAGGUCUGUUCGACCUUUAAAUUCUUACG